AGCUGCUAUUCCAGCUCAAUCACACUGAAAGAACCCCCAUUGGAGUGAUCAUCCCAGGUCCAGCAUCGAGAAGGGUCUAGGUGCUCUACAGCCAUGUGCCUUUGGAAAGGAAAGCAGGCCUAGAAGUCUAGCAGCUGGUUCAGUAGUACGUGGAUACCAAGAGCUGAAGUGAACAUAUCAGAUAACUAUUUUGGGAUGGAAGAUUCCAGAAGACUCCACAAAACCAUUGCUUUGAUUCCUAUAUGAUUUCUAUGAAGAAGUACUAGGAAAAUGGAGUUUCCUUUGAAAUACCAUAGGAACCAGUUCAAAGACUUCUGGGGUACACUGGAAUGGUUGCAUGUGGUACCAAAUUACCAAGGGAUAUCAGAUGCUGCUGAGGCAAUCUUGUGAAAGCUCUGGCAUCCCAACAUAUUCCAGGACUGUGAGACAUUCAAGGCCCAAUCCUAAAAAGGGAUGAGAAGAGGUCAACCCCUUGCAGGAUUAGGAAGUCAGUGUCCAGGAGAAGGAUUGUCUUUUAAUCAUUUGGAGAAUCCUCUGUAUCACUGCCUUUAUUUCACCAUUAAAAUCUCCUCCCUCUCAGGCUCAGCCACCUAGCUACUGUCCUCCCAUUCAAGAAGUAUUGAAAUUUAUCAAUAAACUUCUAUUCCUCAAUGAGUUGGAGAGGAUGUUCCUGUACCAGAUAAUCCUUUAUUACACUGUGCUAUAUUUUCUCAGCUGCUGGAGAAACACCCUAAAAAGGUGACCAUUCUGGAGAAGUACUGAAAUUACACAAGACAGACAGUCCAGUUAAAACAAUAGUAGUCUUUCCACAGAUUUCAAUGGCCAUUGGAUCAGGCCUCUAAAGUAGUAAUUGUAAUGGAGUUGGCAGCAGGAAUACAGUGGUUUGACAUCCUUCGAACAAUGGCAAUUCAAGCAGGAUGCCUCAACUAGCCCUACUUGAACCAGCCACUGGUUUGACGUUCCAAAUAACUGGUAUCAGAAAUGAAAAUAUGUAUAAUGCAAUCUCCAUAGCUGUGUGUUAAACAAGUGCUGCAAAAUAUCGCUCCUUUGUAUGAUACAACACAAUUAUAUGUGACAGGAGAAAUAUAGGGCCUGAAGUGUAUGGGUGUCCGUUACCUACUGGGGUAAGUAGAGUAAGGUAGCAUUCAAUCAACAACAAAACACCAAUACCCUUAGUCAGUAAGGGACUGUAGUGCUGAAUGGCCAUGGCCACAUUGCAUACCUUUAUU